GUCAGGACGGCUGAGCGGUCUACAGCACUGUGUUCAGGUCGCAGUCUCUCCUGGAGGCGUGGGUUCAAAUCCCACUCCUGACA